rnacentral:tRNA from 1 species
GGUGCCAUAGUGUAGCUGUUAUCACGUUCGCCUUAUAUGCAGAAAGACCUGGGUUUGAGCCCUGGUGAAGCCA